UGUUGUUCCGAGGGGAGCUUCGUCAAGGAGCUGAGAAACCGCUGGAUCGUGCUGCGGUGACCCUUUGAACCUGAUCCGGGUCGUGCCGGCGAAGGGACUGGAUGUAUCAGGAGC
rnacentral:ncRNA from 2 species